GUGCACGCUGGCGGUAGGCCUAACACAUGCCAGUCGCACGGCAGCACAGUAAGAGCUUGCUCUUACGGGUGGCGAGUGGCGGACGGGUGAGGAAUACAUCGGAAUCUACUUUUUCGUGGGGGAUAACGUAGGGAAACUUACGCUAAUACCGCAUACGACCUACGGGUGAAAGCAGGGGGUCUUCGGACCUUGCGCGAUUGAAUGAGCCGAUGUCGGAUUAGCUAGUUGGCGGGGUAAAGGCCCACCAAGGCGACGAUCCGUAGCUGGUCUGAGAGGAUGAUCAGCCACACUGGAACUGAGACACGGUCCAGACUCCUACGGGAGGCAGCAGUGGGGAAUAUUGGACAAUGGGCGCAAGCCUGAUCCAGCCAUACCGCGUGGGUGAAGAAGGCCUUCGGGUUGUAAAGCCCUUUUGUUGGGAAAGAAAAGCAGCAGGUUAAUACCCCGCUGUUCUGACGGUACCCAAAGAAUAAGCACCGGCUAACUUCGUG
rnacentral:rRNA from 1 species